rnacentral:rRNA from 1 species
AACGAACGCUGGCGGCGUGCCUAACACAUGCAAGUCGAGCGGAGGUACUUGAGGAGUAAUCUGAGGGUACUUUAGCGGCGGACGGGUGAGUAACGCGUGAGCAACCUGCCUUUCACAGGGGGAUAAGGCGGCGAAAGCCGCUCUAAUACCGCAUGAGACCACGGUAUGAUGUACCAGGGGUCAAAGGAGCAAUCCGGUGAAAGAUGGGCUCGCGUCCGGUUAGGUAGUUGGUGGGGUAAAGGCUCACCAAGCCAAUGAUCGGUAGCCGGCCGGAGAGGGUGAACGGCCACAUUGGAACUGAGAGACGGUCCAAACACCGACGGGAGGCAGCAGUGGGGAAUAUUGGGCAAUGGGGUAAACCCUGACCCAGCAACGCCGCGUGAGGGAAGAAGGUUUUCGGAUUGUAAACCUCUGUUCUUGGGGAAGAGAAGAAGACGGUACCCAAGGAGGAAGCCCCGGCUAACUACGUGCCAGCCGCCGCGGUAA